AGAACGAACGCUGGCGGCAUGCCUAAUACAUGCAAGUCGAACGAACACUUCGGUGUUAGUGGCGCACGGGUGCGUAACGCGUGGGAAUCUGCCCUUGGGUUCGGAAUAACAGUUGGAAACGACUGCUAAUACCGGAUGAUAUACGAAAGAUCAAAGAUUUAUCGCCCAGGGAUGAGCCCGCGUAGGAUUAGCUAGUUGGUGAGGUAAAGGCUCACAAGGCGACGAUCCUUAGCUGGUCUGAGAGGAUGACUCACGCCAACACGUGGGACUGGACGACCACCGG
rnacentral:rRNA from 1 species